GAGAGACCAAGAUGUAGGCUACCUUAAGUUGUAUGAGGCUGCUGUGAAAAUGGCAUUGGUGUUUUUUUGGCUCUAAGAAAUUUUCAGGACCUAGUCAAGCAUGUGACAACAAAUAUUUAAUGAUAGUGGACAAGGUAAACUUCAAAAGUGACUAGAAAGCCUUGUAGAGUCUAAGACAGAGGGACCCUAACAAGCUUGAUGACAUUUUGAAUACGUUUUGUAUUGAUUACUAAUUCUUUUCCCAAUGAUCUGUGAAGCUGGCUUUCUGUUUGGCAAGGCAGCCCCAGAAGGAACUUUCACCCCCUACCUCCUUGCAGGAGUAGCUUAGAACAUCUCCCAGCAUCGGGCCCUCCAGAGUCUGGGAGGGUUUGGUUGUCUCGUGAAUUAUGUGGUGCCCUUCAGGAACUCACUGUGAUCUCUGUUGCCUUUCCUUUCAAGCAAGUGGUGUGGAAAAAUAUUAAAACUCUCAGUAAUGACAGUUUCUAGAUACGCACAUCUUUGAGUGGACAAUGAAGGCAACAUUUAUAUUCUGUCCACAAUGCGAGCAUGGUAUGCAUUCUGCCGCUAUCAGAGAGCCUUCCUUCUGUUACCAAAUACCUUACUUCCUGACAGGUAUGACCUCCGGGACCUCCCUAACCCCUUUCUUUCUUUCCAUACAAAAAUCUAGAGCUUGGCUUUUCUUUUUCUUCUUUUUUUGUAAAAAGAGGUUUUUCCAUUUUAAAAAGCCUGUUCAGUUCUUAAACUUGAUCAUUGAUAUGUUCCGCCUCAUCAGGAAGAGGAGUGCAGCUGAACUGACGAUCAGUUCAUGCCCUUGGCCUCACUCAUUAUCAUGUCAAGGACCUGGCAUGCCCAUUGAGGAGGGCCUCUGCGCAUUCUGUCAUCAUCAAGCCUAAUUCCUUCCCCUGUUGAUGGUUUUGCCAGAUUCUUUGCCUGUUGAUGCCCAUGCCAGGGCCAUGGUGCUUAUGCCAAAGCCUUUGACAGAAUGAGUCAAAUCUGAUGCCAGUCACCCUGGCAGAUGCCACCUUGUUGUUGACCACUUCCUACCAGGGAUGGGCUGAAAAGCAUAGUGUCUGCUAAGCUUGUAGAGGACUUUUCUGUAAGUGCUAAGUAUUGACGUUACUCCAAUUUGAAUCAGAUCAUUUGGAACUCUUGCUUGGAUCUCUCAAAGCUGUUGACUCAUUUGUAUCUUGGCCUCCCAUUAGUGGGGUAGAUAGGAGCCAACAAGUUUGAGUGAAGUCAGAAUAAAUAUCUUUUAAGUGUGGAUCUGUGGAGAAGAAAGAGGUCCCAAGAUCAUAUUGAAAACUGUGGUUAAAACUGUGAAUCAAGAGGUUUGUUUUAAUUUGCCAUUUUCUUACGAAGUUUUAAAAUGUUUUCUAAUAAAGCUUCUUAUUUAUUGCCUUAAUACAUUUUCUGUUACUUAUAACAGAAUACCUAAAACUAAAUAAUUUAUGGCUGGGUGCAGUGGCUCACACCUGUAAUCCCAGCACUUUGGGAAGCUGCGGCAGGCGGAUCACGAGGUCAGAAGAUCGAGACCACCUGGCUAACAUGGUGAAACCCCGUCUCUACUAAAAAUACAAAAAAAUUAGCCAGUUGUAGUGGCGAGCACCUUAGUCCUAGCUACUCGGGAGGCUGAGGCAGGAGAAUUAUCUGAACCCAGGAGGUGGAGCUUGCAGUGAGCCGAGAUCGCGCCACUGCACUCCCGCCUGAGUGACAGAGCAAGACCCCAUCUCAAAAAAAAAAAAAAAA
ensembl:lncRNA